GACAGAGGGUGCAAACGUUGUUCGGAAUUACUGGGCGUAAAGCGCGUGUAGGCUGCUCGGAAAGUCGGGUGUGAAAGCCCUGGGCUCAACCUAGGAAGUGCACUCGAAACUUCCGAGCUGGAGUUUCGGAGAGGAAGGCGGAAUUCCCGGUGUGAGCGGUGAAAUGCGCAGAUAUCGGGAGGAACACCAAUGGCGAAGGCAGCUCGCUGGGACGGUACGUGACGCUGAGACGCGAAAGCGUGGGGAGCAAACAGGG
rnacentral:rRNA from 1 species